GACGAACGCUGGCGGCGUGCCUAAUACAUGCAAGUCGAGCGAACAGACGAGGAGCUUGCUCCUCUGACGUUAGCGGCGGACGGGUGUGUAACAUGUGGAUAACCUACCUAUAAGACUGGGAAAUCCUCGGGAAACCGGAGCAAAUAGCGGAUAAUAUACUGAACCGCAUGGUUCAAUAGUGAAAGACGGUUUUGCUGUCACUUAUAGAUGGAUCCGCGCCGCAUUGGCUGGUUGGUAAGGUAACGGCUUAUCAAGGCAACGAUGCGUAGCCGACCUGAGAGGGUGAUCGGCCGCACGGGAGGUGGGACGCGGACCAGGCUCCUACGGGGGGGAGCAGUAGGGAAUCUGCCGCAAUGGGCGGGAGCCUGACGGAGCGACGCCGGGUGAGUGGUGGGGGUCGUCGGAGCGUGAAACUCUGUUGUGAGGGGAGAACAGGUGUGUAAGUGACUAUGCACGUCGUGACGGUACCGAAUCAGAAAGCCACGGCUAACUACGUG
rnacentral:rRNA from 1 species